UUUAGAAAUUGUAUAUGUUUAAUGAUAAAGUACAGUGAAAAUUCUACACUAACAGGUCAGUCAAAUCCCACAGAAUAAAGUAUCAAGACUCUCUCUCUCUCUCUCUUCCUUCAGUAGUGAAAACAGCAAAGUCUGGCAAAUUAUAUAAACAAUUGGCUUUAGUUUCUAGGUGACAAAUAGCAGGCAUGAAAAAAAAUUCUGAAGGAAAAAAUAUUUCUAAUUCAUAUGAUUUCUAGUAUUUAUAAUACAUCAAUUAACUAGAUGACACAAGCCAAACCCAAGAUGAAUAGAAUUUAAUACACAGAGUGGGUCCAAAUUAAAAAAAAAAAUUCUUUUUAAAUCAAAUAUUUUAAACCAGUUUUAAGCUUCAAAUGAUUUAAACCCAAGUUUGAAAUCACAAAAUAAACUUAGUCCUUAUCCCAGAAGAGAAAUACUGACAUCAUUAUGAGACAAAAGAAAAUUUCCGAAGUCAAGUCUCUCUGUGAAACAGCUGAAAAACUCAAGUAAAAUAAAAAAAAUAAAUAAAAAAUACUUCAGUGAAAAUUUUAAAGUUGCUCAGGAACAUUUUGGGCUACAACAUUGUCUAAUUUUCAUGAGAAAUAUAAUACAGAAGUGACAUCAGAACGUCUAGCAUAGAUAGAAAUACAUUUGCUAUGUACUUAAACAGAUGUACAUUUAAGUCAGCUCUGAUUAUACUUUGGCUUUUGUGCAUCUAAAUGACACAAUGAAACUGUAAAUAAUAAUUGGCCAAGCCUUUAAAAAACUAACUUUAGUAUUACUGCUUAUUGUUAUGUUUUAAAAGUGUGGUUACAAUAACAAUAAGGCUGUUAUGUAGUAGUUUGUUAUAAACAUCCAAUAGUUGUUUGUUAGGUAAGGCAACAUACCUAACUUGAUAGGUCAAUCCAUGAGCAGAUAACUAUAUCAGCAAGCAAGAAAUGGUAGGUUUUAACUUUAAUGCCAGGGGAUGAGGCUACAGUGCUGUUGGUCAUUAAUUGAUGUACAUUUCUGUUCACUAUGUGAUUCUAUACACACAGAAGCUUUUUGAACAUCACAUUUUUGUUGACAUUAAUUGAUAAGACUUUAGCCGUUGCCAUUUAUACGAAUCUUUAAAAUAAAAGUUAAAUCAACAUCAAGUACUAUGUGCAAAUUAUGGAAAAACAAGAGUUAAAAUAAAGUGAAUAAUCUGCAGGGGCAUCAAAAUAGAAAAGAGAAUGUUCCUUUCCUGAACUAAUAAUUUCAUGUUGUGUCUGAACAUAGGCAGCGAUUAGGAAUGUAUUGUAUUUUGACAGGCACACAACUUAAAGAACCAUUCUUAAACCAUAGCAACACUUUCACACUAUGGAUUUAUUUUCUAAUGGUUUAUAUACCGAAUUUUUAAGUAUGUAGAUCUAAAUAAACUUCACACAAUAAGCAUAUACACAUUUACUUAGCAGACAGCAUAUAAUUACUAGAAAUAUGGAUCAUGCUUAGAUUCAGUAAAUGUAACCGAGACCAAUCAUUAUAGAAAGCCUGACACUGACCUGCGACAUCGCAGACCUGUGACAUGGCAGAUGAGGUAUUGGUUUGCACAACCCACAGGUUGUAAUGUCACAGGUCAGCGUUCAGGCCUUCUAUAAACAAUUGGUCUCACCGUCACUCAACCAGUGGACAUCACAGAAUUCAGGUGAGCAUCAAAUGAUAUCAUAACAACAAGUGACUUGUGGGAACAAGGGGGCAUCCAUGUGGGUGGGGCCGGGGGAGGGGGGUGACAUGACAACAAGAAACUUCCUCCAAACAAAGCAUUUCACAUGUAUUCAAUGUAUGCAACACACAUCUGACAGCGUAGUUGAAAUCAUAAGAGCAACAAAUCCGUAAGAGAACAUAACAAUAUGAACCGUAUAUCUAAUGACAAUAUGAGCCAUAUAUCUAAUGACAAUAUGAACCAUAUAUCUAACGAUAGGUUGCACCUCAACCAGAGUUUUCUGAGUUGAUAAAUUAAGCAAAACAUUUUUUAAAUACUAUUUCACUAGAAUUUGCAAUGUAAAAUUUGCUCUAAUAAACAUUGUUAUUAAAAUACUUUGAUAAAAUACUUUAAUUUCUGGCUUAAACAAAAACAAUUAUCUAGAAACAAACAAACAGUAGAACCAUACAUGCUAGAGUCACAAUAAUUGUGUAGAGACAAUCACAGGAAGUUACAUCCAACGGCAUUCUCACAAUUGUGUUUCAUAAUUAAAUCAAAUUAGGCGAUCAGUGGUUUGGACAGUAAAAAAAACCUUCAGUCCCACGCAUUACAUGAGAAGAAUCGGGACACAAAAAAAAGGGUAUAUAACUCUAUUUAAACAGACUGAGUAAAUCACAGUCGUAGAUAUCUCUGUGUGUAAAAAAAAAAAAAAAAAAAAAAAAAAAG